rnacentral:rRNA from 1 species
AGCGAACGCUGGCGGCAGGCCUAAUACAUGCAAGUCGAACGCACCUUCGGGUGAGUGGCGGACGGGUGAGUAACGCGUGGGAACGUGCCCUUUGGUUCGGAACAACACAGGGAAACUUGUGCUAAUACCGAAUGUGCCCCCCUCCUUUGACGUAGGGGGGCGGGAAAGAUUUAUCGCCAUUGGAGCGGCCCGCGUUGGAUUAGCUAGUUGGUGGGGUAAAGGCCCACCAAGGCUACGAUCCAUAGCUGGUCNGAGAGGAUGAUCAGCCACACUGGGACUGAGACACGGCCCAGACUCCUACGGGAGGCAGCAGUAGGGAAUCUUGCGCAAUGGGCGAAAGCCUGACGCAGCCAUGCCGCGUGAGUGAUGAAGGCCC